UUGAACGCUGGCGGCAGGCCUAACACAUGCAAGUCGAGCGGUAACACAGAGAGCUUGCUCUCGGGUGACGAGCGGCGGACGGGUGAGUAAUGUCUGGGAAACUGCCUGAUGGAGGGGGAUAACUACUGGAAACGGUAGCUAAUACCGCAUAACGUCGCAAGACCAAAGUGGGGGACCUUCGGGCCUCAUGCCAUCAGAUGUGCCCAGAUGGGAUUAGCUAGUAGGUGGGGUAACGGCUCACCUAGGCGACGAUCCCUAGCUGGUCUGAGAGGAUGACCAGCCACACUGGAACUGAGACACGGUCCAGACUCCUACGGGAGGCAGCAGUGGGGAAUAUUGCACAAUGGGCGCAAGCCUGAUGCAGCCAUGCCGCGUGUGUGAAGAAGGCCUUCGGGUUGUAAAGCACUUUCAGCGGGGAGGAAGGCGGUGAGGUUAAUAACCUCAUCGAUUGACGUUACCCGCAGAAGAAGCACCGGCUAACUCCGUGCCAGCAGCCGCGGUAAUACGGAGGGUGCAAGCGUUAAUCGGAAUUACUGGGCGUAAAGCGCACGCAGGCGGUCUGUCAAGUCGGAUGUGAAAUCCCCGGGCUCAACCUGGGAACUGCAUUCGAAACUGGCAGGCUAGAGUCUUGUAGAGGGGGGUAGAAUUCCAGGUGUAGCGGUGAAAUGCGUAGAGAUCUGGAGGAAUACCGGUGGCGAAGGCGGCCCCCUGGACAAAGACUGACGCUCAGGUGCGAAAGCGUGGGGAGCAAACAGGAUUAGAUACCCUGGUAGUCCACACUGUAAACGAUGAAUGCUAGGUGUAGGGGGUAUCGACCCCUUCUGUGCCGGAGUAAACACAAUAAGCAUUCCGCCUGGGGAGUACGGCCGCAAGGUUAAAACUCAAAUGAAUUGACGGGGGCCCGCACAAGCGGUGGAGCAUGUGGUUUAAUUCGAUGCAACGCGAAGAACCUUACCAGGGUUUGACAUCCUGCUAACGAAGUAGAGAUACAUUAGGUGCCCUUCGGGGAAAGCAGAGACAGGUGGUGCAUGGUUGUCGUCAGCUCGUGUCGUGAGAUGUUGGGUUAAGUCCCGCAACGAGCGCAACCCUUAUCCUUUGUUGCCAGCGGUUAGGCCGGGAACUCAAAGGAGACUGCCAGUGAUAAACUGGAGGAAGGUGGGGAUGACGUCAAGUCAUCAUGGCCCUUACGACCAGGGCUACACACGUGCUACAAUGGCAUAUACAAAGAGAAGCGACCUCGCGAGAGCAAGCGGACCUCAUAAAGUAUGUCGUAGUCCGGAUUGGAGUCUGCAACUCGACUCCAUGAAGUCGGAAUCGCUAGUAAUCGUAGAUCAGAAUGCUACGGUGAAUACGUUCCCGGGCCUUGUACACACCGCCCGUCACACCAUGGGAGUGGGUUGCAAAAGAAGUAGGUAGCUUAACCUUCGGGAGGGCGCUUACCACUUUGUGAUUCAUGACUGGGGUG
rnacentral:rRNA from 1 species